UCAGAAUUAAACCAACAGCUAGGCAGGCAGAGUCUCUAGACUGCCUUUUGAUAUGAUUAGGAACUUGCCGUUUUCCUCAGUGUUUAUCUUUGGACUUGAUGGCAGCAGAAAUGCCAACUGAACAUGCGUCAUCACAGUGGUCCCUCUUUUGUUGGAAUUGCGUUGCUUCCAGAAGGGAGGGGAAGCCUGAGAAAGUUACAGACGAUGAUGCGAUGAUGCGUAAUGAACACAUAUACAACGGACACCAGGGGUCUGGGCCUCCGUAUAGAACUGUUAACGUUAUGCCUCCUACCUUUCCAAGUGAAUCAAUACAAGAUCAGCUUUAUGCAAACAUACCUGGAAAGCCUUAUUUUUACUAAAAUGAAUUAACAUGACAUUAACAAAUAAGUCACUUUUAAGUUGCCGUGUCAAAAUAUAGGACCUUGGACAUCAGAGGGCCACUUCAUUGUCUUUAUUUAUGGUCACAGCAUUUGCAUUCCCGUCUCCCUCGUGCUGUUUUUAUUUUUGUCACUGGAGUCCAUGAAGACUUAAUCAUCAGCCCUCUAAUUUUCCAAAAGAAAAAAAAAAUGUUGAUUUAUCGAAAUGGCUGCAGAAAAAGAAGAAGAAGAAGAUCAAUCUGACAUUGUAGGUUAAUAGUAGGGAACAAAACACAUUCAUAAUUAGAAGAGAAAAGGACCUUCCUUGUUCAUUCCAGUUUAUAAUAAAAAGCGCCUCGCCAAAGUGUCUUAGAAAAUAAUGCAUUCAGACUGAGUCGAAUUACCGCCUAGCAGAUUCUAUUUAUCUGUAGCUUAAAAAGCAGCUGCGUUUUUGUAAAAAAGCAAUGAAUGUGGCAGUCCUACUUAAAGGUAGAAGAAAAAGAACACCCCUUGUUUUGUAAUAAGGGGAUUUUCCAUUUAAAAGAGAGAGCGAGCCUGUUGUGUGAAGUCCGAUUAUUACAUUCACUGUAUUCUAUCUCACCCACCAGGAGGCUAAUAAUGGAGGGGCCAGAGAAGGAGGCCAGUGCUCCGAGGGUUAUCUCACAGCCUCAGAUGCUGGAUAAGCCGAAGGAGGCAGAAUCGCUUCUGGAUGACAUUCAGAAAGGCCGGAGUGAUUAUUGGAAGAGAAAAGCCUGCCUAUUCUUUUCCAAGGUGCCUGACUAUUCCCCGGGCCCGCCCGUCCGGCCACUGAUGAAUGAUUAGCCACCUGCCUCAGACAAAGGAUGCCCUGGGAGCCUCCCCACACCUACGGCCGCUUUGAAGGCUCUGCCAAGCUCACUUUUAAUCACGAGAAAGGAAUUACCCACAUGGAGUCAGCAGAAAAUGAGAAAGUAGAGCUCGUGCUGCGAAUCAUUCCAGCAAGUGCCAAGGGGCUAGUUGAGGAAUGGCUUCAACGAGGUGAAUAUCUUUAGCUUGUACUUAGGGUUUGGGUAGCGUAUAAUCAUUUUCUCUUUUAGGAGCAAUGAUUGUCCUAAGUGCCUUCCCCAGCCCGAGAGCAUCUGUCAGGCUGCCGGCAGACUUGAUAAGCGUCUCCGUCCUUGUUGGUAUUUACUGUUACUCCCUGUACCUCUGCGACCGCGCCACCACCAUCCGCCGGGGCGGGGAGGCCGCCGAGCCCGUGCCCGUUCAUAGCUGUGUGUCUUUGUUGGCGUGUGUCCGGUGAUCUCUGUCUCUGUGUGUGUGUGUGCCCUCGUUCGCGUCUUUCUCCCUGUUGUGCACAGCGGUGGGGAGGACUGGCCAGCCAGGGGGUUCGCAGAUGUGGUCCGAGGCUUUCAUUUGAGUUUUGGACCUGGGAAAAAAGAAUGUGUCACAUCAUGAUUAAUGGUCAAUCUGAAUGUUCAAUUCAUACGGAAGGAGAAGGGGGAGGAGGAUAUGAGCCCAGUGAUGAGACCAACCUUUUCCCUUUGGGAAGAGCAGGAUUUAAAUUAAACAUCACUUUCGGUGUGAAAUUAGUUUGAAGCCCUCUCUCUCUUUUUAACUCCUUAACGGGCUGCUCUUUCAGAGAGCAUCCUCUCUGUCGAGCCCCGUGCCCGAGUCUGUUCCCAGCAGCCACCCGUAGUUCUUCCUUUGUUCUGUUUUCCUAAAGAUCGGGUCUGAAAAACCAAGAGGGUAGUAUUUUACUGUUUUCAAAACUCCAUUAUUCACGAGUUAGCAUUCGCCCUAAAACAUGUUAUUUCCUUCUGUCCCAAACUCAAGUCUCAGA
ensembl:lncRNA